GCUUGAGAUUCUCUCUUUCCUUCUCCCUCUGUGCCUCCCCUUGCUCUCUCACUUUCUCUCUCUCCCUCUCAAAUAAAUAAAUAAAUCUUUAAAAAAGAAGAAAAAGAAAUAUGAGAUAAUCAAUAAGGAAAACUGACCGCUAAUCAGAAAUUUAACUAUGAGAACAAAAAUUCCUUUGGGCAAAAUUUGGUGAGCACAUUCCCUCUUUAUGAGACUCCAAAGAGCCCACCCAAUGUCAUGGGGAACAAACUAGUUGAAACAAUGUCAUGUUAUUUUAAAGAACUCCACCGUGCUCAGUUAUCUUAGCCAAAUAUGGGGGUAGUAAAGUAGAAGUGCAUUGUGUGUCAAAGUAGACAGCGGUCAAGGGGUAAAUCAAACCUAGUUAGAGGCUCUGAGGUCAGGACUGAAGAUGUUCCUGGCCAGUAUGACAGUUUGAUUCAUUAAAAGAACACUAACAGCAAACGAAACUCAUUUUUCAUUAUACAAAAAAGUAAUAAUGUUCUAUGAUUCAUAACUAUAUAUUUCCUUUACUUGUGUUAAAAAGCUAAGAAAGCUCAAUUGAAAUUAUUAAUGUUUACUCUUUGGAAUCCAGAAAUGUGCCAUUUGAUGAUUUUUCAGCUAUUACAUGCACGCCCAGGUGCUCUGUAUAGAUUCUAACAUUAUUGGAGUAUUUUGUAUGUGCAAAGGCCUGUUAGAAAACUUCUGCCCUUACCUCCCUCUCCUUCACACACAUACAUCUCUGCUUUCCUAAGUAAAAGGCUGUAGCAUUGUGCUUUAUAGAUUGUACAUUACAUAUUAGGCAACGAGAUAUGUGAAGUACACUUGAUCCCAAGCCUUAUCCCUCACUGAUUGUAAGAUCUUCAGCAAGUCCAUUUCUGAAUUACAGCUUCUACAUCUGUAGAAUGGAGCUAAGAAUACCUUUUUAUUGGUGGUUUUAUAAACAGGUUCUUUAAUUUUUUGACACUCCUCCCAUCCUCCCAUUGAGAGGUAGAAUCCAAUUCCCUCCCUUAAACAUGUCCCAGACUUCGUGACUCAUGUCUAAAGAAUGGAAUGUGGCAGAAAUAAUACCAUGUGACUUCUGAGACGAAGUUCUCCCUGGCUCUCUCCCUUGGAAUGAUUGCUCUUGGAACCCAACCACUUCACCAUUUGGUGGAAAAGCCAAGCUGCCACAAGGAAAGAUCCCACAUAAGUAUUCCAACAACGGUUCCAGAUGAACUCCCAGAUGACAACCAACAUCAGCUACCAGAUACGUGAAUGAGUUUUCAGAUUGUUCUCUCCCCCAAUCUUUGAGCCACCCCAGCUGACACUGAGCACAGCAGAAACUGUCUCCUCCAAGUUCUCCCAAAAUUAUAGAGUCAGGAGCAAAUAGAUACUGUUACUAGUUUAAGCCAUUACGUUUUUGGGUGGUUUGUUGUACAGCAACAAAUAAUUGGAACAGAUUUUGGUACCAUGACAAAACUGAAAACAUGUAGCAAUGACUUCAGGACUGGUCAGACUGCAGAAUUUGGGAAGGUCUUCGAGAAAUUGUUAGUGGAAGCUUAAUGGCUUUUUUUUUUUUAAGAUUUAUUUAUUUAUUUUAGAGAGCAGUGGGGGAAGGGGCAGAGGGAGAAGGAGAGAGAGAAUCUCAAGCAGGCUCCAAAGCCAAUGCAGAGCCCACACGGGGCUCCAUCUCACCUCCGUGAGAUCAUGACCUGAGCUGAAAUCAAGAAUUGGACGCUUAACUGACUGAGACACCCAGGCGCUCCAGCUUCAUGGCUUUUGAAGAGGUUAUUGGUGAGGGUUGACAGGAAAGUAAGGAAAAUGUUAUUGGGAGCUGUCAUAAAGUGGUAGAAAGUUCAGCAACACUGUCGAUCUGUGGUAAUACGGAAAACAGAAAAUACACAGAUUAACAGAAUGACCUAAGGCAGCAUGACAGGGGCUGCCUGGUUUUUCCCUGGCUGCAGCAAAAUGCAAGAGGAGAGAGAGAAGAAAGAACUGUUGCGUACAAAGGACCCAGGAACUGCCGGGUUGGAAAAUAACAGUUUCUCUUUUCCCACCUCUCCAAGUGGCAAAUGAAAUGGCUUCCAGGUAAAGAUCGGAUUCAGAGUGAUCUCAGGAAACCACAGUUCAAAGGUGAGGCCACCAGUGUGACUAAGUGCUGGCAAAGAUUUCAGGUGUUGCUUUGUCGACGUUUGCAAGUGGAGGAAAAGGCCCACAAAUGGAAAGGGGGUUACCAGACGGCAGCUUUGGAGAAUCUAAGGUAAAGAAUGGCUAAGCGAGAUUUAUGGGAGUAGCUUUUGCCUGAGUUGCUGAUACACUGAUUCAUAAGAAGCCCACAACUUUUUUUUUUUUUAAUUACAAUCAUUCUAGACUGAGAGGGCCAGUCUGGCUAUUGGAUCCCCAGACUUCUAAGGUCUGAGAGCCACCUGAAGAACUAUGAGCGGUAAACAUGGGCUCUUUUAGUGGAGAAGGAAGACUGGCUCCAGGGAUGGAACCAGGGGUGCAGUGGGUGGAGCCAAAAGCUACUUCCAGGAAGUAGCGCUGAGUCCUGAUGGAGGAAUUGGCGAAUUGAGCUCAGGUGGGAUUCGGAGCUCUUGUGUCCCAGGGAUGGCUGUACGCCUCCUGCUUUUCUUUUUUGAACAGAAGUGUGUAUAGUGCUGAUCCUGGGAGUGUCCCACCACCGUAUAUUAGACGUGGUUGGCAGCUGGCUUGUCUCUUGAUUCAUCGGCCUUCAGAUUGAGAGGAGCUGCAUCUGGAGCAGAGUACCCAAGGAGCCUCUGCUCCACCUGCACCUGAUUUAUGUGUGCAGAUCAUGACCCUCAAGCUUGAGUGUGAGGCUACAGCAGGUGCAACGUUUAAGUGGUCUAGGUAUGGGGUGUGUGUGCGUGUGUGCGUGUGCUGGGUGAUGAGUGUAUUUUGCAUGUAGGGGAAAAUGUAAAUUAUUUAUGUACAGUGGGUGCGUUGUGAUCAUCUUAAAACAUAUCCAUAAAUUAUUUCAAAUUCUUCCCAACAAAAAACAGAGCCUAAUUUCCCUUUCUUUGAAUCAUAGUUGGCUUCAGUGACUUGCUUCUAACAAAUAGAAUAUGGCAGAAGUGAUACUGUGUUACUUCUCAGACAAGAUUACAAAACGAGAGACAGCUUUCACCUUGUUUUCUUUUUCUUGGGAUGUUUGCCUUUGGUAACCCAGCUGCCAUUUUAGUAGGAAGCCAACAGCCACAUGAAAAGGCCAUGAAUAGGUGUUUGGCCCCAGCUGCAGCUGAGGUCCCGGCUCACAGCCAGCAUGAACCAGCAAACUGUGAGUAAACGAGUUUCCUGAGGGCCUCAGCCAUCAGUCUCAAGCCACCCCAGAUGAUAGGGGUGCCAUAUCCUUACUGGGUGCAAAGGGAGCAAAGACAAACUGUCCUUGCUCAGCCCUGCUCAAAUUACAAUUCAUGUGAGAAAUAAAUGCAGUCAUUGUUUUAAGACACUAAGCUUUGGGGUGGUUUGUGAAGCAGCAGAUACCCAGGUACUGAUUUGCAAAUCUCUACUAGAAAUAUCCACAUAUCUAAACAAAACCUUGUAACAGUUACAACAUUUUAUGCAUUAUAAAUUACAGUUGCUUUAUGGUCCCUAGCUUUAUCACUGCCUAACUCUGGGGCCUUCAGUAGACCAGUCUUCUGAGUUUCAUUUUCUGUGAUUGUAAGAUAUAAAAAUACUUGUCUUUUAAAAAACCAUUUAUGAAGAUUAUAUAGCAACAAGGAAAAUGAUGAUAUAUUGUAGGUUAUAAAACUGGAUUCAAAUGAUUACAACUGUAAAAAUGUGCAGAUGAGAAAUAGAUUAGAUUAGUGGGCUUAAAAUAAUUUUCCAAAUUUCUGUGAGAUUAUUUACUUUAGUAAUCAAAAAAACGUUAAGUGCUUAAAAAAAUCCCAUUGCGAAUUCCCAGCCCAAACUUGGGGAAUGGGUUGGGUUAUUUCUUCUCACUGACCUCCCUGCUGGUUAAAUCAUGUAAAGUGGCUUGGAAGAGGAAUGGGGACAAAAUAACAUCCUGUUACUUGGAGUUUGGAGGGCAAUCAAGGAUAUACUCCAGAACUCAGAUUUCCUGCCUCUCUGGCCAGUGCACCAUUCCCUUACACUGUAGGCUCUUAAUACUAGUUAGUUUUUUACCUAUAUGGGUUAAGCAUGAAAACCAAUGCCACAUUAAAUAUUCUUCUUUUAAAUAAGCAGCAAUCCCAGCUAUCUGAGCUCAGAAGCCAUGGAAUCCAAUGGUCAGGGGCAUGGGUUGGAAACCUGCCUCCCCCAAGUACUGUUUGGGGUCUUUGCAGAUGUAAGUAAGGAUCUUGAGUGGAGAUCAUCCUGGAUUACACAGAUGGGUCCUAAAUCCAAUGAUAAGUGUUCUUAUAAGAGAGGAAGACAGCAGAAGACCAUGUGAGGAUGGAAGUAGAGAUUGGGGUUAUGUAGCCACAAACUGAGGAAUGUCUGGAGCCAUCAGAAGGUGGAAGUGGCAAAGAAGCGUUUCUCCUUUAGGGCCCCAGGGGGAACACAGCCCUGUGGGCACCUUGAUUUCAGGCUUCUAGCCCUCAGAACUGUGAGAGAAUACAUUUCUGUUGUUUUAAGCCACCGCGUGUGGGCUAAUUUGUUAUGGCGGCUCUAGCAGACUAGUGGAAUGGGUGAAUCUCACAACCACAACAUUGAACGAAAAAAAUACUCAGGAUACAGGGAAAAAUGAUAUUUAAAUAAAGUUUUAAAAACAUGAAAACUGAUACUUUGCAUUAUAUUAAUAUAUAUUAAUAUAUUAUAUAUUAAUAAAAACAUAAAGAAACAAAUGGGAAUGAUAAACACCAAAUUUAGGAAGUGGGAACUGUGAAGGAAAACGAGGGAACACAGUGGGGGUACACAGAGGGCUCCAGAUGUAUUGAUAAUACUGUGUUAAGCUGAGUGAAGAGGUCAAGCAUGAUCAAUAUCAUAUUUUAAUUUUUUAUUUAAUUUUUUAUAUUAAUGGGUCUUGCUGCUUUUUGUUUGUUUUAAGAUUUUAUUUAUUUAUUUGACAGAGAGAGACACAGCGAGAGAGGGAGCACAAGCAGGGGGAGUGGGAGAGGGAGAAGCAGGCUUCCCACUGAGCAGGGAGCCCGAUGCGGGGCUCGAUCCCAGGACCCUGGGAUCAUGAGCUGAGCUGAAGGCAGACCCUUAACGACUGAGCCACCCAGGCGCCCCUCAAUAUCAUAUUUUUAAUACCAUUGUGUAGGACUAAACUAUUUCAUAAUAAAUUUAAAAUCAUGUUUAAAAGGAAAAAAGGAGAAGGACAAGAAGGAAGGUUGAUAGCACCUUGAGGGCGGGAGCUUCUUUCUUGGGUAAUGCGUGACCUUUCAAAUGUCAGCCAGAACAACAUGAUUUGGUGCAUGUGUUGUCUCCUGAUACUUAAUAAGCAGAUGAAAAUCACUUUGUUAGUAUUCAGAGUUCUGAUGUCAUUUAUAAAUAAUUCCAGUAGUAACCUUUUUCAUUGGAAAAACACCUGUGUAGUGCUGACUCUGAUUACUCCCUGUGGAUAUUGCUUAGCUAAAAAUUAAUAUAUCAUACUUUCUAGAAUGACAGACUGUGGGCUGGAAUAAGAGAAAACAGUAAUUUAUAAGAUGGAGUAAUCACUGGACGAUCCAGGUACUAUUUACUGACUUUCUUCUUUGUUCUCAAGCCAGCAAAAUUAUUGAGUCCACAAUCCCAGAGUCCUUUAUUAGGCUUAAUCUUAGGUUGUCUAUCAAAAACAAUACUGUCGUGGAUUAAUAAGCACCACAAACCCAUAAUAAGCGGCACAGGCCUUUCGUCCUCCGUGGCAGUAAGUGAGCUCAGCUGAAGCAUUAUCAAAGUGUGACUGACUAGCUGGGCUGCCAAGCCCUUGCUCCCUUAGUGUGGCUGAAGCGCCUCCCUGGCUGCGCUCUCUGGAAUAUCCACGAGGUGGCAGCAACUCCUCGGCAGCCAACCAGGGGCUCCACGGGCAACUGCGGCCGCCAUUGACUUCCUCCUCACCAACAGGGCGGUUGUAGUUUCAAAGUCAGAUUUGGUUGUUUCUUUUAGAGCUGGGAUUUAGAGCAGUCUCACAUUUCUUCCUUCGUUUUUUUCGGUACACUAGGUGAAAUACUUUAUUAUGUUUAAAACAUGCCUAUUUUCCAAAUUUACUAGGCCUGUGAAUAAUUUUAAGUAAGACAUUUAUAUUGUGAAGGCACAGGGGAAGUCAACAUCUGCAAUAACCAAAGAAACAGAUGAUCUUUCAAACAAUUUGCAUUUUAUAAAGGGCGGAAUCAUGAUAGCAGGUAAAAUAUGGCUGGUACCAGGGGUCUCUUCUUGCAGGGCGCUUUCGCCCAAAUCCAGACUCAGCUGGGAAAUGUCACAUCAAGUCUCUAGUCUGCUUACUCUGUCUUACAGUGCCCAGAUUCGGAAGCUCUGAGCCCUUGAGCACCUAGGCCCCUAAAAGGAUGAUUAGAUAAUAGUGGUCCUCAGAAAUUUCUGAGCUGACACUGCCUUUUUUUUUCUUCUUUUUUUAAGUUGGCUCCACACCCAGCAUGGAGCCCCACAGGGGGAUGAACUCAAGACCCUGAGAUAAGAUUUGAGCUGAGAUCAAGAGUCAGAUGCUUAACUGACUGAGCCACCCAGGUGCCCCACCUAAUUUUCAGUGAACAUGCUGGCGUCCAUAAAUUAAAUUUCACCCUUUGGAAGAUGAGCAUUGCUCGGGGUGAUUGCCUCAGCACCCUGGCUGCCCUUCAGGGCCAGUUCAACAUGGAUGUGUCCCCUCACUGUCCAGGAGCCCACAAUCCCGCCAUAGGCUUUUCUGGAACUGCACAACCACGACUGGCUGACAAGUCUUCCUGUAGAGUGAUAGCACAGGAUCAGCAAGCUGUAGCUGUGGAGAGAGACCCACAAGGCAAGGAAUGAGGACCAGAGAGGACAACCAGAGAGGAACUGAAGCUCUGAGACCAACAGUCCAGGAGGAACGGACUCUUGCCAACAGCCCAGGAGGAAUGGACUCUUGCGAACAACCAAGGUUGAAUUUGCACUGGGAAUCAGCUACUCAGGACUACAUCUCCCAACCCUCCUUGCAUCUAAGUGGAGCCAUAUUACUAAUGUCUGCCAAUGGAAUGGGAGUAGAAAUGAUGUGCACCACUCCAGGCCUGGCUGCCCCCACCACCUCCCCAGCACCCACUUCAUAUACACUUCGUGUCCCUUCACCGGCUGGAGGCAGAGGUCUAGUAAAUAUUUUAGGUUCUGUUAACCACAUAAUCUCUGUUAAAACUUCUCUGAUCAUUUUGCAAUAUAUACAAAUAUCAAAUUAUUAUGUUGUAUACCUGAUUAAUAUAAUGUUGUAUGUCAAUUAUACCUCAAUUAAAAAAUAAGUAACUAAUGGGUCCUGUCCUUAUGCUUUAAUAAAACCGCCUUUUUGCACCAAAAAAAGGUAAAUAAAAUGUGAAACAAAACAAAAACAACCUGUUCAAUUCUGACAGCAUGGCACAAAUGCAGCCAUCAACAAUAGAACAAGUGGCUGUGGCUGUGUUGCAACAAAACUUUAUUUCCACAGACAGGCAGGGGUGGGCUGGAUUUGGUUCUCAGGAGGUCUAUAUUUUUGCGCUGCCUUUGUCAUGUGACCUUGGCUACAUCAUGUAAGUUCUCUGAACCUCAGUUUCUUCAUCUGUGAAAUGAAGAAUUUGAACUUGAUCUCAAUAUCUCUGAUAACUCCAUGACUCUAUCAUUUUGGUCCAUCAACUAUUAUUUCCACUCAAGUUCUAGCCAGAAUGAAUUUCGUGUGCACACGUGCAUGCGUGUGUGUGUGCAUUUUAAGAGUUGCAUGAAAUACCGAUAACCUUCAUAGCAUCUUAUAAAAUUCAGAGAAAAUUUACUAAAAAAUAUAUAGCAAUUAACCUUUUUCUCCAAGUUUGGGGUUAAGUAGAGGAGAAAAUUGUUAAGAGAAGACGAAAAACAUCAGGUACCGCUACAGUUAAUAGAAUUUAACAGAUUAAAUACAGCAAGCAAGGUAGUGAGUGAGUUCCCAGUAUACAUUCUCAUUGAACCAGACUGCAGGGUGCUGGAGCUUGAUCACAGCCAUCACACAAGAGGAAAAUUGGAAGUCUUUCUUUGGGAACUGCACAGCAUCAUUUAUUAAAUAAGCAUCCUGGGAGCUAAAGAAUUGUUUAGUUCAACAGCAACAAGACACAUCGAGAAGAGAGGAAUGACGACAUGAGUCCUCCAAACAACUGAGCAGUUUGUUCAGCGGAGGGAAGUUAAUGUGUUAAAAAAGAAACAUCAGCUAUAAUGAUAGUAGUAAUAACAGAUUUAUAUUUGUGUUUGGGAAGCAACCAACUUCUUCAACUUCACAUCAGUGGAACAUGAGCCAAUGCUAUAUGAUUAUUCUAUUAAACAGAUGAAAAAAGCUUGAAAGGCACGUAUUCAUGUCACAUUUAUGUGUUCAAGUUUCAGUGUACCUAAUAUAACUUUAGGGGACAUAUUGAAUAUUGUAUAGAAGUUAUCCACACCUAAAACAAUGGGAGUAACUAUUUUGGUAUGAUCAAUAAUAUAGGAACAGUAAAACUCAUUUUUCAAAUAGUAGGUUCCAUGUUAUUUUAAUCCUCACAGUCCAAUGAGGUAGGCUGAAAUCAUGGUGUGAAUCCCUUAGUUAGCUGAGGAAAUCAAGGCUAAAUGGCAUGUCUUCCCUCACCUACAUAGCUACAAGCAGGAUAAAUGCCAGAAUCCAGGUCUCCUGACUUAGAAAACACAUCCUUGUGUUAUUCAUGGUUAAUAUGCAGAAGUUUCAUCUUGGAUAACUGAGUGAACUAGAACCAGUAACGUCUUUUCAGGACUGGCAUCAUAAGUUGUAUGUUCUGAUGCUCAUGCUUCCUUAUACUGACAUCUGAAGAAGCGUUCACCUAUGGUAACAGUGGUACUACUACUCAUGGGAAGUGUGCCAUUAUGGUCACAAAGCAAGCCUGGGACUCUAAGAGGAGCCAGAAUGACUGAGGAGGUGAGAGGCAGCCCCUACUCAUGUUUUUCUUUAGCUCUGCCAAAGAGGAUGCCAACCUAUCUUUCAGUUCAACUCUACAGUCAUUAAUCUCAACAUAGACAAGAAGUAUUCAUUGGUUCCUCCAUCUUGAGUACUCUUCCCCCACUCAGUUAAAUCCAACCCAGACUUCACCUUUCAUUUCAAGCACCACUUCCUUAGGGAAAGAAGCCUUCACUGACCUCUAGUCCUUUGUAAUGCGCUCUCCUUUCCUUCAGCACACUUAACUCACUGAGCAAUUAUAUAUCUACCUUGGUGAUUAUAUGAUUAUUGUCACUCUCCCCAGCUGGAGAGGUUGAAAGUCCCAUGAGAGCAGGAAUCUUAUCUGGUUUUGCUUAUCACUGUGUCCCCUGCACCUAGCAGAGUGUCUGGUCACAUAGCAGGUGCCCAGUUAGUACCUAUAUGAAUGGAUGGAUGGAUGGAUGGACGAAUGGAUGGACAGAAGGACAGACAAAUGAAUGAGCAAAUGAAUAAAUUAUACUUAGGUCUAGGAUUAGGGUGGCCAGGUAAAAUGCAGGAUGCCCCGUUAAAUUUGAAUUUCAGAUAAACAAUGAGCACUUUUUAGUAUAAGUAUGUCCCAUAGAAUAUUUGGUAUACACUUUCACUGAAAAAUUACUUGUUGUUUAUCUGGAAUUCAAAUUUACUGUAUUUUUAUUUGUAAAUCUAAAUGUUGAAGGUAGGGGAAAACUUAGAAGUGAUAGCUCAAAUGUUUUAAAAUUUAAUUUUGUUUUAAUUUUUCUUUUUUUAAUCCCAGCAUAAUUAACAUACAAUG